rnacentral:rRNA from 1 species
CAGCCGCCGCGGGAAAACGGAGGGGGCUAGCGUUGUUCGGAAUUACUGGGCGUAAAGGGCGCGUAGGCGGCCAUUCAAGUUAGAUGUGAAAGCCCUGGGCUCAACCUAGGAAUUGCAUUUGAUACUAUUUGGCUUGAGUUCGGGAGAGGUGAGUGGAAUUCCCAGUGUAGAGGUGAAAUGCGUAGAUAUCGGAAGGAACACCUGUGGCGAAAGCGGCUCACUGGACCAUUUCUGACGCUGAUGCACGAAAGCUAGGGGAGCAAACAGGAUUAGAUACCCGUGUAGUCCCUGUCUCUUAUAC